GGGUUGUGAGGUUAAGCGACUAAGCGUACACGGUGGAUGCCCUGGCAGUCAGAGGCGAUGAAGGACGUGCUAAUCUGCGAUAAGCGUCGGUAAGGUGAUAUGAACCGUUAUAACCGGCGAUUUCCGAAUGGGGAAACCCAGUGUGAUUCGUCACACUAUCAUUAACUGAAUCCAUAGGUUAAUGAGGCGAACCGGGGGAACUGAAACAUCUAAGUACCCCGAGGAAAAGAAAUCAACCGAGAUUCCCCCAGUAGCGGCGAGCGAACGGGGAGGAGCCCAGAGCCUGAAUCAGUGUGUGUGUUAGUGGAAGCGUCUGGAAAGGCGCGCGAUACAGGGUGACAGCCCCGUACACAAAAAUGCACAUACUGUGAGCUCGAUGAGUAGGGCGGGACACGUGGUAUCCUGUCUGAAUAUGGGGGGACCAUCCUCCAAGGCUAAAUACUCCUGACUGACCGAUAGUGAACCAGUACCGUGAGGGAAAGGCGAAAAGAACCCCGGCGAGGGGAGUGAAAAAGAACCUGAAACCGUGUACGUACAAGCAGUGGGAGCCUCUUUAUGGGGUGACUGCGUACCUUUUGUAUAAUGGGUCAGCGACUUAUAUUCUGUAGCAAGGUUAACCGAAUAGGGGAGCCGAAGGGAAACCGAGUCUUAACUGGGCGUUAAGUUGCAGGGUAUAGACCCGAAACCCGGUGAUCUAGCCAUGGGCAGGUUGAAGGUUGGGUAACACUAACUGGAGGACCGAACCGACUAAUGUUGAAAAAUUAGCGGAUGACUUGUGGCUGGGGGUGAAAGGCCAAUCAAACCGGGAGAUAGCUGGUUCUCCCCGAAAGCUAUUUAGGUAGCGCCUCGUGAAUUCAUCUCCGGGGGUAGAGCACUGUUUCGGCAAGGG
rnacentral:rRNA from 1 species